rnacentral:tRNA from 1 species
GCCCGCCUAGCUCAAUCGGCUAGAGCGUCAGACUUUUACGGCUUGCGUAGAAUCUGAAGGCUGCGGGUUCGACCCCCGCGGUGGGCU